rnacentral:rRNA from 1 species
CGCCGAGCUUAAGCAUAUCAAUAAGCGGAGGAGAAGAAACUUACGAGGAUUCCCCUAGUAACGGCGAGCGAACCGGGACCAGCCCAGCUUGAGAAUCGGGGGCCCGUGCCUCUCGAAUUGUAGUCUGGAGAAGCGUCCUCAGCGACGGACCGGGCCCAAGUCCCCUGGAAAGGGGCGCCGGGGAGGGUGAGAGCCCCGUCCGGCCCGGACCCUGCCGCACCACGAGGCGCUGUCGGCGAGUCGGGUUGUUUGGGAGUGCAGCCCCAAUCGGGCGGUAAAUUCCGUCCAAGGCUAAAUACCGGCGAGAGACCGAUAGCGAACAAGUACCGCGAGGGAAAGAUGAAAAGGACUUUGAAAAGAGAGUCAAAGAGUGCUUGAAAUUG